rnacentral:rRNA from 1 species
UACGGAGGGGGCUAGCGUUGUUCGGAAUUACUGGGCGUAAAGCGCACGUAGGCGGCUUUGUAAGUUAGAGGUGAAAGCCCAGGGCUUAACCCUGGAAUUGCCUUUAAGACUGCAUCGCUAGAAUUGUGGAGAGGUAAGUGGAAUUCCGAAGUGUAGAGGUGAAAUUCGUAGAUAUUCGGAAGAACACCAGUGGCGAAGGCGACUUACUGGACACAUAUUGACGCUGAGGUGGCGAAAAGCGGUGGGGAGCAAACAGG